UACGGGGGGGGCAAGCGUUGUUCGGAAUUACUGGGCGUAAAGGGCUCGUAGGCGGCCAACUAAGUCAGACGUGAAAUCCCUCGGCUUAACCGGGGAACUGCGUCUGAUACUGGAUGGCUUGAAUCCGGGAGAGGGAUGCGGAAUUCCAGGUGUAGCGGUGAAAUGCGUAGAUAUCUGGAGGAACACCGGUGGCGAAGGCGGCAUCCUGGACCGGCAUUGACGCUGUGGAGCGAAAGCCAGGGGAGCAAACGGG
rnacentral:rRNA from 1 species